GGUUACUGCUAUCGGUGUUCGCCUAAGCCAUGCGAGACAUAUGUUCUUCGGAACAUGGCGUACUGCUCAGUAACACGUGGAUAACCUGCCCUUGGGUCCGGCAUAACCCCGGGAAACUGGGGAUAAUUCCGGAUAACGCACAUAUGCUGGAAUGCUUUAUGCGUCAAAUGGAUUCGUCCGCCCAAGGAUGGUCUGCGGCCUAUCAGGUAGUAGUGGGUGUAAUGUACCUACUAGCCUACGACGGGUACGGGUUGUGAGAGCAAGAGCCCGGAGAUGGAUUCUGAGACAUGAAUCCAGGCCCUACGGGGCGCAGCAGGCGCGAAAACUUUACAAUGCGGGAAACCGUGAUAAGGGGACACCGAGUGCCAGCAUCCUAUGCUGGCUGUCCGGGUGUGUAAAAUACACCUGUUAGCAAGGGCCGGGCAAGACCGGUGCCAGCCGCCGCGGUAACACCGGCGGCCCGAGUGGUGAUCGUGAUUAUUGGGUCUAAAGGGUCCGUAGCCGGUUUGGUCAGUCCUCCGGGAAAUCUGACAGCUUAACUGUUAGGCUUUCGGAGGAUACUGCCAGACUUGGAACCGGGAGAGGUAAGAGGUACUACAGGGGUAGGAGUGAAAUCUUGUAAUCCCUGUGGGACCACCUGUGGCGAAGGCGUCUUACCAGAACGGGUUCGACGGUGAGGGACGAAAGCUGGGGGCACGAACCGGAUUAGAUACCCGGGUAGUCCCAGCCGUAAACGAUGCUCGCUAGGUGUCAGGCAUGGCGCGACUGUGUCUGGUGCCGCAGGGAAGCCGUGAAGCGAGCCACCUGGGAAGUACGGCCGCAAGGCUGAGACUUAA
rnacentral:rRNA from 1 species